GGUGGAAGACCUCCUGCAGAUACUGGUCCAGACCGGUAGCCAGCACCACGAUCUCGUUCUCCACGCCGCGGUCCAGCCCGUAAUGAGAUGUGGUGUUGACUCCACUUGUUACCUGCCAUGGAAACCUUACCCAGCCAUGUUGGAGCAAAAGGCAAACUCCGUGGCCCUUGAUAGGCAGAUCUUGUUUUGUGUACACCUCUGAUUUUAAAUAUUAAAUCUCAGUUGAAAAGUA